rnacentral:lncRNA from 1 species
CUAUGUGACAGCACACUGAAGUAAAAUCAGAGUUAGGGCAACUCUUCCUGUUUUCACUCUGAAAGUGGGACUAUUUACCUCAGUUGCUGAAAAGAGUAUCAUGUUUCACAAAAACAACUGUUAACCAGGUUUGUGGUUUGAGUCCACCCAGAGGCAGCUGUGAGCAAUAUUGUAGGGGUUGGACUAUAGAACCCUCAAGGUCCCUUCCAACUCUACAAUUCUAUGAUUCUAUAAAAAAUUGUAUUUGGAAUAUCACCUCUUCCUCAGUUUGGGUCAAUACUAAGUCAUGUGAGUGAGUGAGUGAGUGAGUGAGUGAGUGAAAGAGAAUAUAUCAGAGCAGUGGUAGUGGUGUUUUUCUUAAUACUAGUAAAUCUAGUAAUAAAAUCAUAUUUAUUUUCAGGCAGUAAUUUGGUGGGUGGGAAAGAAGUCAUUGUAUUUAAUAAAUUCUGUAUUUUCAUGCCUAGCAAUACCACUAUACCCUCAGCAAAGUAUAGCCAGUGCAUUGGCUUCUCAUUUGCAACAGAGCUACGCCAGAGUGCACACAAAAGACUGCAUUUGUCCAAAAUAAAAGUGUUAUUGUCAUCCCCUGCCACCUCAAGCUAUUCUUAGCAAUAGAUAUUUUGAGAUCACCAGAAUACAGGAUCUGAGUAGCUGCUUCUUGGAACUUGGGUCUUGCAUGGUUGAGGUUUCAUUACUUCUAGAAUCAUUCAUUAGAAGUAUAAAUUACUUGCUACUCGGUAGCUGCCAAGAAUAACUCACACAUCAUCUUCUGCCAAGCUCUAACAUUGGCACUGGGCUCAUGCCCUGUCAAAAUAAGCUCAGUUCAUGUAGUCAAGCUUUUGGCCAGCACUCAGUAUGUUAAUAUUAGGCACUCAUGCUAAUGGCAGUGAAGGUCAUAGGUGUGACAGUGUCAUUUGGUACUAAAAAGGUAAUGUGUGCUUUAAUUAGCUAAUACAGUAUUGAUAGUGACUGAUUUGCCAUUGCUAUAUUUGAUCAGUAUUGCUAAUUUUAAUUAUCACUCCUCUUUUCCAGAGAUGCCCACUUUUGGCUUUGUGUUUCAUUACUCCCUACAGUUCGCUUGACUUACAUGGCUCAUGGCUUGGUAUUCUUUCCUAAUGAAAUACCAAUUGUAACCUCAUUGUGAUCCACAGCAUUGGGUGAUGGAAGUGCCUACACAAUCUAGGGUAACAUAUUUCCAUGUGCUCUGUGGUGUCCCUGAAAACAGGGUCCAGGCAGAAGACCAAGUUUGCCUCGCAACUACAUUAUCCACAAGCUCCACACUGUCAUUCUUCCCAUAUGCAGCAACGGCAGAUAUUUAUAUGGGAGAAAGGGAAAGGGCACAAUAUCAGGCAGGAGUGGCUAAUCUGGCCCCCACGCAAUUUUUUUCUGACCCUCAGCCCUAAUACUUUUGGUGACAGUAGCAUCAACACACACACAGCUUUGGUGUGGGCAGAGUUGGGCUGAUGAUGUGAAUCAGCCUCUUCCCAUUCAUCAUCUCAACCAUGUGAUGAGCAGAGAGGGGGUGAUGAUCCCUUUCCUUGACCGAUUUGCUCAGAUCAUUUGAGGAGCUCGGCUGUGUGCAUGUGUGAGCAGGAUGAGUGUGAGGUGGCCAAAUUCACACCCACCAGUGCAUGCAGCCCCAUGCAGCUCCUGUCCAGUUCCCGGUGACACUAGUAGAGGAAGGGAAGCACAAAAUGUUUUGCACUUCUUAACUAUGUUGCUGCCUGCAGUCCACUGUCUUUGUCCUAUAGCGCUUAUCGUGAACUGUGGAGAGCCAUACCACCCUUCCUUGGAUAAUCGCACCUUGGUUUGCACUGCUUGUUCAUGCUACUGCGUACUAAAGAAAUGGUACCAAGAAUUGUUUUUAGGUAUGAAAGUAACUUCACUACUAAUAUUAAUUUACAAAGUGCUUCAUGACUGGUCUUCUUCACCCUUGGAACACUGUGAGAUAUAAUCUUGCUCUCUUCUUAGAGGUUGUGAUGGCAAGAUGACCCUUACCCACUGAAUUAAGUUCAUUAAAAUAAAUAAAUACGCUUAUAAUCCUGCCUUUCUGCCAUGGGGCUCUUAAAGAGGUCUCCAUAGGGUUCUCAGGCACUGAUUAGAAUCAGACCCUGAGCAGCUCAGCUUCAACAAGGUUGCUGCAAUCAGGCACCUUCAGACAGUGCCCUGGUCUGGGAGUUGAACUUUAACCCGUAUUUGAUCUAUUUUUAGUUCACACAAAACAGGGAACAAAAAAUGCUCAGUUAGUGGGUUAAAUAUAUGUUGACUGAGCAAAAACUGGGAGCAAAUUUUAUCACUUGUGUAACCUCGCACUGCCAUCUUGCUCCACGUUUACUAAACUCACCUCGCCAAAAUGGUCCUGGGAGGCAGCCAGGUUACUAAAAUAUGGCUGUCCACGACAAGUAGAGACAAACUAUGAUACCAUCAAUUAAUCUAUGUGCACCUCAAGUUGCACAUUUAACCUUCUCUACAGAAGAUAGGACUAGGCAAGGGCUGGUGUGUGUGUGUGUGUGUGUGUGUGUGUGUGUGUGUUUAAAAAACAUCCUAAGCUAUAACAAUCUAGUAUUAUUAAACAUAGACAGACAGAAAUAGUGCGGGAGGACUUAAGAAUUUGUAAUUUAUUCAUAAACUGCUAAGCCAUCAUAGCAAACUUUUUAAAUGAAAUCUGAUAGUUCUUUAAAUAUUUACCAGCUUGUUGACCCAUUUUCUCAGUUAAUUAGGGAUUGCAUUAACAAUGUACUGAACAGAGGCAGCUUUUAAAAUUAAGCAGCCCAACUAUUGUGCAUUGCACAAAGUUUUUAUUUUGUUCAAUGAAGCUAGAGAAAGGAUGCUCAAUUGAAAACAUCCCAAUUCUUUAACAAAAAAGACACCUAAUAUAUGACUAGAUUAAUCACUUUUCCUAUGACUUUCUAGGAAGAACAUUCAUUUUGCAGUCUUCUCUGUUUCUGUAAUAGCUUUUACUGACUUCAGCUGCACAUAUUUUCUUACCAUGAUUUCUGUGAUAGCCUGCAUUAUUUUCCAGUGAAAAGUUUUGCAGUAUUUGCUUCUAAUGAAAAUGAAAGAGUAAUUCAUCAUACUUUCUCAACCUUUUUCAGUGCACUCGUUCAUUUCCAUCUUUAAGCUGAAUCCCUUCAUCUGAAACACAUAAUUGUGCAGCUGAAAAUAAUUCAGGGAAGAUGUGGCCACACACCCUGUAUGGCCUAUUGCCAAAAGGGAUUGAGAGAUGUUUUAGUUGUUUGUUUCUUCCUGGUCAUCUCAUCACCUUUAUUUUCCCUCACUAUUUCCCUGUUAUUAGCUGCUGCCUUGUACUUUAUUUUGCAUAUAUUUUGAGUUUUGAAGUCUUUUCAAAAAUCUUUUUGCAGAGUGUUUCAUAUUGAGGAUGAAAGGUGGGAUAUAACUGUUUCUAAUAAAUACAUAGCAAGCUCUGUGAGAGGCAUGCCCAGUGCAUCCCAUUCUAUGACAAUUUAAUGGUCUCAACGACUAUUUAAAUCUAUUUCAGGUUAAGCAGAAUUUUUUUUUAAGAUAUGUGAUUUUAAAGUGAGAGUUGCAACAAUGUUGCAGUUCAGAGUGCUUCUCUUCAAGGCCAGCCAGCCAUUCCCAUUCCCAGGAUACUCCAUUAAAUUUCCUGAUUCCCUGGUCUUCUGUUCUCUUGCCCCACCUACUUCCACAGUCAGCCAGCAUUGCAUGGUUAUUGAGCAUGCCUUCCCUGGGGUCCCCCCCCUUAAUAAUGAUAAUUUUUUAUAUUUCUACAUACUUUGGGAUUCCCCAAAGCAUACCUUUUGGGUAUGCUUAGAGAAGGAUUUGCACUCAGAGUAGUAAAUAGCCGUUGCCAAUUAACUCUGAACUUCAACUUGGUCUCAGACUAACCAUUGCUCAGGCCUUCUUUAAUCCAGCGCAACCUGAAUCCGAAGAAAGUUUUUCCAGUCAAAGUGCUAAAAGGCUGUAAAAGUUGUAAUAGGGCCAUCCAUUGGGUUUCCUGAGUUGACCCGAGGUCUUUGUUCCAAUUGUUCCAAUAGCUGAACUGACCCAAUGUAGAAAACAAAGCAACUGCCAGCCGUGAGGAUUAAACAAGCCAGCACAUCAAGGUGCAAAUGGCUAGAAGAAGCUUUCUCUCCAUUUACACCUGAUGAGCAGCCAUGUUCCUCUGCCAAAAGGUGGCAUUUACUGUGUCUUUGUUUCCUUCCUGGAGAUCAAUUCACAAUGCAGCCAGUCAGUGUUUGCAUCCCAUGGAUCAAUUUUCUUAACUGCCAGUGUUGCUCUGUUUUGUUUUUCUAAAGAGGAAAGUUACCUCAAGUGGCAAAGAUUUGACUGAUUUGAGAAAUCUCACACACCAAACCAAAGGCAUCGCAGCCUAAGUGAGAAGAGGGCAAAGGGCUUCUGUUUACUUGAAAAGAAGAACCGCAAGAGCAGAAACUUUUUCUGCAGAGACGAACUAGGAGGUGACACUCAGUGGCAGAGGAAGGAUUUCUAUUUCUGGCACUACCUUAAGGCAACAAAGGAAACAUAAUAGCAACAAUAGUCCAAUUUAAUGAGCAGGUAUGCAAUAUUAAUUGCAUUAAGAGUUACACUUUGAACAAAACAUACC